GGAGGUUGGCUUAGAAGCAGCCAUUCCUUUAAAGAGUGCGUAAUAGCUCACUAGUCAAGCGACUCGGCGUCGAUAAUAAGCGGGCAUAAGCCGCUUGCCGAAGCUGUGGGAUUGAAAAAUCGGUAGGGGAGCAUUCCAGUUGCGUCGAAGCUGGCUCGUAAGGGCUUGUGGAGCGGCUGGAAGCGAAACUGUAGGCAUGAGUAACGAUAAGACGGGUGAAAAACCCGUCCACCGUAAACCCAAGGGUUCCUGAUCAACGCUAAUCGGAUCAGGGUUAGUCGAGUCCUAAGGUGUACCCGGUAUGGCCGGGGAAGCCGAUGGCAAAGCGGUUAAAUAUUCCGCUACCACGACCAACGCGUGGCUAAGGCGUGACGCAGAAGUGACACUCCCGCGUGCUGACGAAUGCACGUUAAAGGGUGUAGGCUGGGGGGUAGGCAAAUCCGCCUCCCGUUAAAGCUGAAACCUGACAGUACUCUGAGCCCUCGGGCGAGGAGAUAGUGGAGGUAAUCAUGCUGCCAAGAAAAGCGUCGUAGUUUGUUGGAAGUGCUCGUACCCCAAACCGACACAGGUGGGUGAGGAGAGUAUCCUCAGGUGCUCGAGUAAUUCAUGGCUAAGGAACUAGGCAAAUUGGAUCCGUAACUUCGGGAGAAGGAUCCCCCUCCGCAAGGAGGGGCGCAGUGAAAAGGCCCAAGCGACUGUUUACCAAAAACACAUGUCU
rnacentral:rRNA from 1 species